rnacentral:rRNA from 1 species
AUACAAGGCAUACGGCUCAGUAACGCGUAGUCAACCUAACCUAUGGACGGGAAUAACCUCGGGAAACUGAGAAUAAUGCCCGAUAGAACAUUAUGCCUGGAAUGGUUUAUGUUCCAAAUGAUUUAUCGCCGUAGGAUGGGACUGCGGCCUAUCAGUUUGUUGGUGAGGUAAUGGCCCACCAAGACUAUUACAGGUACGGGCUCUGAGAGGAGUAGCCCGGAGAUGGGUACUGAGACACGGACCCAGGCCCUAUGGGGCGCAGCAGGCGAGAAAACUUUGCAAUGUGCGAAAGCACGACAAGGUUAAUCCGAGUGGUUUCUGCUAAAGAAACCUUUUGUCAGUCCUAGAAACACUGAUGAAUAAGGGGUGGGCAAGUUCUGGUGUCAGCCGCCGCGGUAAAACCAGCACCUCAAGUGGUCAGGAUGAUUAUUGGGCCUAAAGCAUCCGUAGCCGGCUCUGUAAGUUUUCGGUUAAAUCUGUACGCUCAACGUACAGGCUGCCGGGAAUACUGCAGAGCUAGGGAGUGGGAGAGGUAAACGGUACUCGGAAGGAAGGGGUAAAAUCCUUUGAUCUAUUGAUAGACCACCUGUGGCGAAGGCGGUCUACCAAAAACA